CGGGGGCAACUCCGGUUCAGUGGCAGACGGGUGCGUAACACGUGAAGAACUUGUCCAACGGUGGGGGACAGCCGGCCCAACGGCCGGUUAAUACCGCAUACGAUCGCUCGGGGGCAUCCCUGGGCGAGGAAAGCAGCCGCAAGGUUGCGCCGAUGGAGAGCUUCGCGGCCUAUCAGCUAGUUGGCGGGGUAACGGCCCACCAAGGCAACGACGGGUAGCUGGUCUGAGAGGAUGGCCAGCCACAUUGGGACUGAGACACGGCCCAGACUCCUACGGGAGGCAGCAGUGGGGAAUCUUGCGCAAUGGCCGCAAGGCUGACGCAGCGACGCCGCGUGUGGGAUGACGGCCUUCGGGUUGUAAACCACUGUCGGGAGGAACGAAUACUCGGCUUCGAUAAGGAGACCGAGGGUGACGGUACCUCCAAAGGAAGCACCGGCUAACUCCGUGCCAGCAGCCGCGGUAAUACGGAGGGUGCGAGCGUUGUCCGGAAUCACUGGGCGUAAAGGGCGCGUAGGUGGCUCGUUAAGUGGUCGGUGAAAUCCCGGGGCUCAACUCCGGGGCUGCCGGUCAGACUGGCGGGCUAGAGCACGGUAGGGGCAGAUGGAAUUCCCGGUGUAGCGGUGGAAUGCGUAGAUAUCGGGAAGAACACCAGUGGCGAAGGCGUUCUGCUGGGCCGUUGCUGACACUG
rnacentral:rRNA from 1 species